CUGCCCGUCUCGGGUCGCCGUCGCCCGCCCCCCCCCGCCCCCCCCUCGCCCUCAGUGAGCCUCUCCUGACCCCUGCAAGGAAGGCCUGGGCGGGCCUCAGCUCCAAAGGGCCAUCGCGGCCGCCCUUGACUGCCCGGGCCUCCAAGCCGGCUGACAGUUCGCACGCCACCCCCCCACCCAGUGUCCGUUCCCCGAGGCCUACCGGCCUCCCUGGGGCUUCCCUUCUGACCACGAAGCCCAGGUCCGAACACCCUCCACAAGCAGGCGGGAGCCACCGAGGACCCCGAAGGGGGCACGCGCCGCCCGGGCAAGGAAGGGUCCGGCUCCCACACGAGUCUACCGCCCCGACGGUCGAUGGCGGGGACACGGGGCCGCGCCAAGGGAGGGUCACGCGGGCGUCCCCUAGCUCGGCGGCGUCGGGCUGGGCGUCGCGCCCGGCUCGCCAAUCAGAGUCCGGGCACGGGCCGCACGGCACCCCAGGGCGGGACCGGUGACAGAGGCUGCGGGGGUACCCUGCCCGGGGACCGCUCGGCCCUGCAGGACCUCUCAUCCCGCAGAGUCAGCGCAACGCCGCCCACCUUGCCCACCCGGCUUGUCAAGCAAGAGUAGGCCAGCGAAGUCCUCCCUGCUCCUCGGUCUCGGGCUCGGGGCCAGGGAGACCCGGUUCCUCGCCCCUGGGCAGGUGCCCGAGCUCCGCGGGUGCCGCUGUGGGCGCCGGGACCCAAAGGGCGCGUGGACACCGCCUGGAUCUCAGGCGUCGGCGGGGGGUGGUGGUGGGGGGAGCUCGGAGGGAGACCGGGGUCAGGAGAUGCAGGCCGCCUCCUCGGUGCCCCGGGGCCAGGUUUGACCAAGGAAGGGGACAGCGUGCACGGCCCCUCGUGCCACCCCCGCCCCCCACUAACUAAGGGGCCUUCCGGGAAGCUGACUGGUGUGAGGAGAAGGGGCAACACGCUGCCUCUGGCACGCGGCGGCGGCGGCGGCGGCGACGGCGGCGCGGGGAGACACCCGCGGACGCUCGGGGCCUGCUCGUGGACGCGUGUGGACGGGAAGGCACGACCCAUCCCGGACCUUCUUCCACCCGUGUGUGGGCUACCGGGACAGCCGGGGCCUCCACGGAGGUCGGUCCGCGUGAUCCAGAGCGGGAGCCUCCUUCGGGGCACUGGACUGGCAGAUGCGUGCCUGACUAUUGGCCCACGGGGGCAAACGGAGCUGGGCCCCCCAGCCCAGGGGACGGGGCUCCGCUCCCGGGAGCCUCAGAAGCCGGGGUGCUUGCUUGCUUGCUUGCUUGCUUGCUCGCUGGCUCGCUCGCCCGCGCGGGCCCGUUGGCCCGCGGCCGAACCCGCCACCCGCCACCCCUCCACCCUCACCCCGGCCCUUGACAGGAGAGCCGCCCGCCCGCCAUGUUGGGGCGAGGGACAGCGGACACGGACACGGGCUUGGCUCCCGAGUCCUCUGGCGUGGCCUUUUUUUCUUCUGGCAGAGGGCGGAGAAAAAAGGCCAAGGGCUGGCCACCCGGGCUCCAACAUGGCGGCUCCUGUGUCUGGGCCACUUUCGCUUUAGGGGAGCACUUGUCUAGUAUUACCAGAGUUGAGCUUUUCUUCCUUCCCUCCUUUAUCUGUGAGCCUACUUUGCGAUUGGAUUGUAUGGUAUGGUAUGGAGCAACAUGGAUGCUGAUUAACCUCCUAUGUUUGGUUAAUACUGACUGAUGGUUAUAGGACACAUCAGGAGAUAUAGUGGUGCGAUCUUGAGCUUUGAGCCACAGUUACCCCAAGCUGAUAAUUUCCCUUUCUGGCACAUUCCACCAGGGCUCCCUCAUUCAGGUCCCUUUGACUAGGGUGGUUACAUGGUGAUUUGUGGAAAUGGAUGGCUUUGUGCAAAUCCAUGGGCUCUGUUUAUGUUGUCAAUCAUAAGUUGCGCAUAUGUCACUAGAGGAUGGAAGGUUUCAAAGUUUAUUUGUCUGUGUCCCAGGUGUUUCUCUAGGAUUCAGGAGUCAAUGGUGGUACGCAUAUUUUAGCAUGGAUCGCUUCGUAUGCUGCUUGUGAGAUGGCAAUCCACCUCAUCUUUGGCCUUCGUUAAUCUUUGAUUGUCUGUAGAUUCGCAUGCAAGCAUCUCCUUUUUCCUGUUCCACAAUCACGAACUGCCUUGAGAGCCUUUUCUACCACAGGUGAAAUUCUGGUACAGUACACAAGAGUCCUGGUAUUAAGAAUCUGCCUAGGGAUUCUUUCCUUCUUGAACUUUGCUGAAAUAAUACCACAAUCUGUGUUCUUCCUGCAGUAAAAUGAACUCUCUUGUUAAAGGAAAAAGAAGAAAAUAGAGCACUCACUCACCCAGAACAUCAGCACUGGCCUCUUCAUUUUCACUUCUUUCUUUCCUUUCAUUCUGUCUCCCCUGCAGUGAGAGAGAGAGAGAGAGCUUGUUAUGGGACCACCAUAGUGCUGCGUAACAGGGUUUUGUAUGCAUCCCACUUAGUCCACCUUCAGUGUUUCAGGUCAGUAUUUUUUUUUUUUAGUUUAGUUUAGUUUUUUAAAUAAAUUUAUUUUUUAUUGGUGUUCA
ensembl:lncRNA